rnacentral:rRNA from 1 species
UCUCGAAAGGGGUGCUAAUACCGGAUAAGCCCACGGGAUCCUCGGAUUYUGCGGGAAAAGGUGGCCUCUAUUUAUAAGCUACCGUAUCAGGAUGAGUCCGCGUACCAUUAGCUAGUUGGUGGGGUAAUGGCCCACCAAGGCUACGAUGGUUAGCUGGUYUGAGAGGAUGAUCAGCCACACYGGAACUGAGACACGGUCCAGACUCCUACGGGAGGCAGCAGUGGGGAAUUUUGCGCAAUGGGGGAAACCCUGACGCAGCAACGCCGCGUGAGUGAUGAAGGCUUUCGGGUCGUAAAGCUCUGUCAGAGGGGAAGAAAUGGAAUUGGUUAAUACCCGAUUUCCUUGACGGUACCCUCAWAGGAAGCACCGGCUAACUCCGUGCCAGCWGCCGSGGUWAUWC